GGAAACGACUGCUAAGACUGGAUAGGAGACAAGAAGGCAUCUUUUUGUUUUUAAAAGACCUAGCAAUAGGUAUGCUUAGGGAGGAGCUUGCGUCACAUUAGUUAGUUGGUGGGGUAAAGGCUUACCAAGACUAUGAUGUGUAGCCGGGCUGAGAGGUUGAACGGCCACAUUGGGACUGAGACACGGCCCAAACUCCUACGGGAGGCAGCAGUAGGGAAUUUUCGGCAAUGGAGGAAACUCUGACCGAGCAACGCCGCGUGAACGAUGAAGUAUUUCGGUACGUAAAGUUCUUUUAUUAGGGAAGAAUAAAUGAUGGAAAAAUCAUUCUGACGGUACCUAAUGAAUAAGCCCCGGCUAACUAUGUGCCAGCAGCCGCGGUAAUACAUAGGGGGCAAGCGUUAUCCGGAAUUAUUGGGCGUAAAGGGUGCGUAGGCGGUUAAAUAAGUUUAUGGUCUAAGUGCAAUGCUUAACAUUGUGAUGCUAUAAAAACUGUUUAGCUAGAGUAAGAUAGAGGCAAGUGGAAUUCCAUGUGUAGUGGUAAAAUGCGUAAAUAUAUGGAGGAACACCAGUAGCGAAGGCGGCUUGCUGGGUCUUUACUGACGCUGAGGCACGAAAGCGUGGGGAGCAAACAGGAUUAGAUACCCUGGUAGUCCACGCCGUAAACGAUGAGUACUAAAUGUUGGGUAAAACCAGUGUUGAAGUUAACACAUUAAGUACUCCGCCUGAGUAGUACGUACGCAAGUAUGAAACUUAAAGGAAUUGACGGGACUCCGCACAAGCGGUGGAUCAUGUUGUUUAAUUCGAAGGUACCCGAAAAACCUCACCAGGUCUUGACAUGCUUCUGCAAAGCUGUAGAAACACAGUGGAGGUUAUCAGUUGCACAGGUGGUGCAUGGUUGUCGUCAGCUCGUGUCGUGAGAUGUUGGGUUAAGUCCCGCAACGAGCGCAACCCUUAUUGUUAGUUGCCAGCACGUAAUGGUGGGGACUUUAGCAAGACUGCCAGUGAUAAAUUGGAGGAAGGUGGGGACGACGUCAAAUCAUCAUGCCCCUUAUGACCUGGGCUACAAACGUGAUACAAUGGCUGUUACAAAGGGUAGCUGAAACGUAAGUUUUUGGCGAAUCUCAAAAAAACAGUCUCAGUUCGGAUUGAAGUCUGCAACUCGACUUCAUGAAGUUGGAAUCGCUAGUAAUCGCGAAUCAGCAUGUCGCGGUGAAUACGUUCUCGGGGUUUGUACACACCGCCCGUCA
rnacentral:rRNA from 1 species